UACAGAGGGUGGCGAGCGUUAAUCGGAAUUACUAGGGCGUAAAGCGCACGUAGGUGGCGACGUAAGUCGGGUGUGAAAGCCCCGGGCUCAACCUGGGAAUUGCAUUCGAAGACGUGCAUUGGCUGGAGUACGGAAGAGGAAGGGCGGAAUUCCCGGUGGUAGCGGUGAAAUGCGUAGAUAUCGGGAGGAACAUCAAGUGGGCGAAGGCCGGCCUUCUGGUCCAGUACUGACACUCAAGUGCGAAAAGCGUG
rnacentral:rRNA from 1 species